ACCAUUACAUGCCAAAACAAGACGAUAAAACAGUGUUAUUGAAAAUUCCACCAUUCUUAAUUAUUCCAUAAAACAAGAAGAUAAAACAAAGUUAUUGUACAAGUCCUGCAAUUAACGAGAAUUACAAGCCUUCGAAAAUGCACCAACCAAGCUUAAAGGGCGUUUGAAAACUCUAGAUCCUUUCUUCACCGGGGAUAGAUUAAGGGGGAAAAGACAGUUCAGUGCACUGGACAUUUUAUGUUCGCAUAAUUCGAGAAAAGUAAAGUAGAACAUCACUCAAAUCAGUAAGUAUUCUAAAAGGUUGUGACUUUUCUGUAGAGUGAGUUACUUCAAUAACAGAGGCGAAUCUUGGGUGGCAUUUCAAUUAUGUAUACAUAGAAAAAGUAGAUUAAAAUGUAUACGUAUAAUAAAAUAGUGCUUAUUUAAAACCCAGUAACUCUAAAUUCUAAAUUCGUCUCUGAUCCUAUUAGCAGGUUGAACAGCUUGGAGACGCCUCCGGGUGCGUUCAUGGCGGCUUUGGUCGUCGGAUUCUUGAUCAGCAAAACUGGAAUAAUGAGCUACGGCUACUGACAUGAGGAGAACCCACAAACAGAAAACUGCGUAGCAUUGUCUUCCCAAUUUUCCCAUUAUCCCUUGAAAGUUCUCCAUCUCUUCAGUAUAGUCUGAACGUUUGUGUUUUGUAAUUUAUGGUUGGAGCAAAAAGUGAGGAAAUAAUGCAGAAGAGAAUGAGUGUGUUGGAUUAAAUAUAGGUGGAUAUGAAGAAAAGAAAAACAAGGGGCAAAGGAAACAGAGGGUAGAGGGAGGGCGGCCAGUGCAGUCGUUAGAAAAGUUACACGACGACACAAAUAAUGUGUGGGGGGGACUAAUUUAUUGCUGUGUUAUGGGCGCUGCGCGCUGUUAUGUCACUUGCUGUUCCCGGAGUUUGUUGUUUAUGUGCAGCUUUACCUCAAUAUGUUUGUCGGUUUAUGCUCGAAAGGCAACUGCUAAAUCUUCUUUUGUGCUUACGGAAAGGGCACUGAGUUAAAUAUAAUAUUUAUUUUGAUUUUUAUUAUUUUUAUUGUAUUAUUUAGUAAAAUUUAUUGUUAUAUAAUAAUAAAAUGUAUCAUUUUAUGAAAUAAUAUAUUAAGUGUGAU
rnacentral:lncRNA from 1 species